CCCGUUCCGUGACUUCCUCGAGAUGAAGGGCUGCAGAGUGCGGCCUGCAGACCUGCCUGUUUUGUAAACAAAGUUUUACUGCAACAACCAUGACCAUUUGUUCAGUGUCCGUAGCAUUCAACAGAUUUGAGUAUUUGCAACAGAUACUCUAUGUCCUAAAAAACCUAAAAUAUGUACUGUCUGGCCCUUUACAGGAAAAAGUUUACCCACUCCUACUCUAGGUCCAUAAUGCCAACUUGAGAUGAAAUUUCAGAUGUCCAGUGUCUUUCUGGGUACAGAUCAGUGAUCCUUCUCUGACUAGGUACACUAGAACUUACCUCUUUUUAGAAAGAUGUUGUUAUAAGUGUUAUCGCAUCCGGCUCCUUUAUGGGCCCCAAUUCCCAUGGCAGUGGGUCUAGGAAACUACGUACGACAUGUAUCACCCGGGCUGACCUUAGUCUUAUUUCUGACAGUUCUGAGAUAAAUAGAUGGUAUAUAUACGUCAUCAGUCGAUGAUAGAUGACAUCAGCAGAUGAUAGAAAAUUUAUAUCUAAGAGCUGUUUCAUUAUCAGCAAUUUUAAGCAAAUCUCAGUCUUACUCCAGACACCUCCUAACGUGUUCUGCUAUAGUAAGACCUCAUUUUAUUCCAAUAUUUUGACAUUCUACCGUCUAGAGCUUUCAUGCUUCAGGCAGGGUGGAAGAUGAAAAAUCGUUACACCCUAAGCCCGUGGUAGGUGUUAACUGUUGCUGACAUGAGUUCACAGGGUACAGAUGUCUCUGGACAGAAACCCUGGGUGGGGGAAGUCUCAGCAACUGAUGACUCGGGCUUCGUGUAAUCCCAUAUGGAUGAGCCAGGAAGUGGAACGGUUAUCAAAAGGGGAGGAUGGAUAAGCCUGCAGCAUAAUCAAAUGGAAAAGCUCAACUGAGGAGGAAACCGGCAAACCGGUGGUUGAGAGAAAGAUGACGGAUGACAGAUGGGAGGGCUCAUCAGUCUAGAGGAUGCCCAAGUCCUUAGAAGUUAUUCAGGAACUUGUGUGUUCUGUCUGCGUCGCUGCUCAUGGGAAGAUGGGUGAGAUUGUCAGCUUUCAUUGAGGACGAGGAGUCUUGCUUGUGAGACACAGACCAGCAGGAGCUGGGAUUAGAACAAGGCUGGGAGGAAGGGAGAGAAAAGGAAGACAGAAAGUGACUCUCGGCAUCCCUAACAUCCGUCGCCCACUCUGGCAUCGUGGAAAACUUGUUCUGAGUAGAAAGAACUUGAUCUGGAUCCAGGGUGGACCAUCUUCUCUCCAUGAGGCAUCUCCAGACACCUGCUCCAUCCACUUCCAGCAGUUCCUCCCUGACCGUCUCCCCCAUACGCAGCAGGUCUCCUGCUGCCUGAGACUCACAUCACCUUGCCCCACCCCCGCCCUCUGCUGCCUCCCCACCCCCUGCCCUGUCCUUACCCGUGGGAACCACCAAGCUCCGAGCGUGGACUGAGCUACCACCUUCUGUGGGAGGCACUUCCCUACAGCUGGGUGAGGCUGGGAUGGAGUAGAGAAGUGAAGAGCAGCCCUGGGCACGAGGGGACGUUCACCCCCGACAGCGGAAGGACUGAACAGAAUCUACCGGGAGUGGCCGUGAAAGGACACACGGCGAACAGUGGAAGACAGACCAGGAAAGGCGCACAGCAGGUGCCGUGGGGUUCAGAAAGGCCAGGGAGCAGGCGACUCCCUGGGGCCUCCUGGGGAGGCAGUGUCAGCGUGGCCCUGAAGGAUGGGCAGGAAUGAGCCCAGCCGGUCCAGGCAGAUGAAAAGCGCAAAGAAAGGUGUGGCCGUGAAAACAGACCUAGAACCAACACCAGCAAAUGGUUCCAUUUUUCAGCAAUGUUGGAUAUGUCCCCUGGGACUGGGUGGCAGGACAAGCCUCCUCACGCAUCUUUUUCUCAUCACAUCUCAUUUCCUUUAGCAAAUGCACAUGAUGUCUUAUUUAAAUGCAAUUCUCUGAAAACUUACUAACUGGAGUGUCAGUCUAACAACAUCCUCUGCUGUAGUUGAUGAAUACAGAAAGAAGCACUUUUGAGAGAGGAAAAUGAUGUUCAUUGUUUUUUCUUUUCUGAAAUCUGCAGAUACUAAGAGGCAACCUGUCCGGAAAAGCCAGUAUCCACUCUCUACUGGAGGGGGUGGAGGAAGCUGGGGGGCAGGGAGUAAGGGUUCCCCCAUAACACGCACUUGUCGGUGAUGAGAGCCACGGUCCCAGCCUUCAGAUCCGGUUCUGCCCUCAGCGCCUUCUCGCCUCCCCGCAGCCCUGUAGCCCCUCCCCCGCUUCACUGGGGCAGUUACUGCUGGGCCACGUCCACAGCCAGAGAGAUGUCUCAUCACUCGGUCAGGCUUGCAGCGCCCCUCAGCCCUGACCCCUGCAACAGCUUCCUACCAGGACGUAUUGGAGCGGCCUUGGAGUCCGAGAAGCAGGCGAGGGAGGAGGGAGGGGGACUUCAAAGGGCCCUCCUUCGCUGGGUCUGGCCCGGAGCUGCACAAUUGGCCCCUGGGGAAGGAGGGAAGGGGCGCUGUGCCCCAUCCUUGAGCACCCAUGAAAAGCCCAGCUCUGGGUUCUGAACUGAACUCGGUAAACCGAGGGAGAGAUGAGUCCUUUGCUGAGAUCUCCCCAGAGCCUCUACCUGGUGACCUUACUGUAAGGACUCCAUAAAUAUUUGUGGAAAGAAAAGGUUCUAAUACAGAGAUGAUGGUUUAAGGUUAUUUCUUCCAAAAGAAAAUGCCAAGGAAGCUUGCUAGUCCCACAGGUUAUUCCUCAGGAAAAAAAGCAGCUGAGGUGGGGAGCUCCAAAAAAAAGUCUAUUAAAAAGGGUGGGGGAUCAAAUAAUUUGGGAAAACAAGACAUUCUAAAGUCACCUUGUGGAGAUUCACAAUGCAUAUUGAUACUUUAAAGGCUCUGAAAAGUCCUGUAAUGAAGAAUCCUGUUUAACUGUGUUUCAACCAGCAAUAGCUAAACAUGCUUGAAGAGGAGCACCCGUCUUCCCUCUUUCCUCUCCCUCUCCCCUCCCUCCCUCCCUUAUCCCCCUGCUGUCUCUGAGCAUCCCAUGGAGGGCUAGAGUCAGCAGUCACCUGACAUGCACAGGGACCUGCUGGGUAUAGGAUGUCACUCCAAGAGGACAAAGCAAUGACUCCACACUCCCAACAGGAUUUCUGGGACACUCGGCGCCAAGGGACCAUGGGUGACCCAGGGGUCUGAGCCUUGCAGUAAGCUAGCCCCUGAACCACGGAGAUGACUCCUUCCCAGAACAAGCCUCAGGGCUCUCCCUGAACAGAUCUGCUCUGCUCUGAUCUGACCUCAGUUGAAGCAAAAGGAUUUAACGUCUUUUCCCAGAGAGAAACUAACUCUUUUAUAUACGUGAAGCUGGGAUUUAGAUCAUCAAACAGUUUCCUCCAGGUCUAGAAGUUUCAUGGGGAGGAAAAAAACAAAAACACUUAAACCAAAAAACAAACCGAAGAAAAAUGACCCCAAGAACACAACACCUUUAAUGCAAUUUCUUAGCCCUUUCGAGUUUCUGAAUAAUUCAUGCCACCACAGCUUUCUUUCCGUUUCGUUUCUCAGGUCCCCAGGGUGGGAAGCCAGCCUUGCCACAGUCCCUUCCAAGCCGCAUCCUGCCUCUGCUUGCACACCUCCCGUGACAGGGCACUCACUACUUUCCAGGCUGUCCCUUGUAUUUCUCGUAGGUCCCACCACCAGAAUGGGCUUUAGGUGACGGCAAGAUGACUCCAGAGGCCCCCUCACAUGGCCGCAGCAGUGCAGUGUAGUGGGCGAGAACCUGGACCCUGAACCAAACCGCCUGGUCAGAAUCCCAGCUCCAUCGCUCACGAGCUGUAUGCAACAGGCAUCAAGCUAUGCCUCUCUCAGCCUCAGUUUAGUCGCCUGCCAAAUGGGGAUCACACAUUAUACUUAACCACUCAGGGUUGUUGAGGGGAUAAAAUAAGUGAUGUAAAGCUCAUACAACAUGGUUUGGCACCUGGGAUGAAUCUCUGACGUGAUUUUUUUCUGAAUUGUGAUGACUUGGGGGCACCUACCUGCCCUGUCUCUUCCUGGGAUUCUCUGUCCAGCACAUACAGGUCUGUGAAUCCAGCCUGGGCACCAGGCACCUGGACUCCUGACUCAGACUCACACCCAGGCGGCCAGCUCCCCAAGGCGUAGGCAGGGCACCAGGAGCACCAGGCCAGGAAAGAGCUGGACAACGGAUGCUGCCCUGCCCACAAUCAGUUCUUAUGCCCAAAGCCCAGGUCCCCAAUCCAAACAACCCCCUUCUGAUUCAUGGCCUCUCAGGCGCCCUGUUCUCAUUUCCUGCCCACAUUUAGGCUCUUCUAGCUCUGAACCCCAGUGAGAGGGCUGUGAUCUCAUUGCCUUCUCCUCUCCUGGGACCCUGUGUAAAUUUGUAGCUGCCAAUAGUGGGGAGCCUCUCCCCUUAUCUGCUUCCAAUCCUCAGGGCCUGGUGAAGGAACAGUAUCCUUGCAAUGCUCUCCAGGACCCCUGGACCCACUUUGUCCAGCAACAAAGAGAGUCCAUCCCCAAGGUGAAUUAUGGAGUCUCCAGCCACUUCUAGAAACAGAACCAGCUCACAACGUCAAGGACACAGCGGCAGAUUAAAAGAGCAAAAAGACAAAGGAAAACAUUCAAGUUCCAUUGCUACUGGACUCUGCCCACUCAAAUUUUUGGGCCAAACUCGAUUCCCCCAAGAUUCCAGCCAUUCAUGCCUCAGCCUGCUGGGCUAGGAAUAUGCAUGGGAUUGCUUUCUGAGGGGUGAGGGGCUCUGGCUUUUCACAGAGUAACAGUGAUGCCUGGUGAGUUUCAGGGCUGCAGCCCAGCCUCUGAGCUCCCAGACCUUCAGGCCAUGAUCAAACCCAAAUCCACCCAGAAAGAGCCCCAUGGACACACACGUCAGCCUCUGCCAAGGGUGAGGGUGCUGGAACACCUGCUGGAGGCUGCUGGGAGUUGCUGGCCUCCCUGUAGGGGCUUGAAUGUUGUCCCGCCUGCAAUUCAUGUCCACCUGGAACCUCCGAAUGUGACCUUAUUUGAAAAUAGGGUCUUUGCAGAUAUAAUUAGUCAAGACCUUGAGAUGAUAUCAUCAAACAAUGACGGUGUCUUUCUAGGAAGAGGAGAGGACACACAGAGGGAAGAGGGCCAUGUGAAGACAGACGUGGGGAUCGGAGUGACGUAGCUGCCAGCCAUGGACGCUGAGGCUCUCUGGAAGCACAGAAGCUGGGAAGCAGAAGGGAGGAUUCUUCCCUGGAACCUGAAGAAAAAGCAUGGCCUUACCAACACUGAUUUCAGACAUCUGGCUUCCAGAACCUCAAGAGAACAAAUUUCUGUUGUUUCAAGCCACCAAGUUUGUGGUCAUUUGUUACGACAGUCCUGGCAAACUAAGACACCUGCACUGAGCAAAAAGGAGGACACGGAAUUCCUCAGGGACUUCAAGUUGUAGGGCUGACGUCCCCCUGCUUCACCCAGAACCGUAAGAAUUCUGACUCCAUUCCCCCAUUCUUUUCUGGCUGGGCUGGAGGAGGCCUUCAGCCUGCAUUUGUUUUACUGAAUCUGCUUUGUCAGGGAAGAACCCACUUUUCCAGAAAGAAAGGAAUGGUUUGCAGUUGCACUUCUGGACCUAGAAAUUUCAUUGUCAACCAGACUGACAUAACCAGGCUCCCUGCUUUCUGUUCCCGACUGCCUCUUUUCAGCAGCCCUCAUGAUGCUUUGCUGGCAUUUCUUUCCACUGCCCUCUGCUGAUCAGGCAGAACCAUGGACAACAGCAAUUCCAGAACCCACAGCCCAGGGAAGUCCCACUUGGUAGUCAAAGCCAUCCAGACCCAUGAUUCUGGCUUGGGGAAGAUUCCAGAGUUGGGGAUUCUCUGUGGUUUUAACUUUCCAGGCUUCUGAAACCAAGAAUACCUUUAGUCAAUUUAUCCCAAUAUGUGUUCCUCAGAACUGUAAUGUCCUGCAAAAUAUUAGUAAAAAUUUUUAAACAUCAUAGUCAAAUAAGUUUGCGAACUGCCAAAAUAAAUAUAGUUAAACAAA